rnacentral:rRNA from 1 species
AUACGGAGGGUGCAAGCGUUACUCGGAAUCACUGGGCGUAAAGGACGCGUAGGCGGAUUGGAAAGUCAGAUGUGAAAUCCUACAGCUUAACUGUAGAACUGCAUUUGUAACUUCUAAUCUAGAGUAUGGGAGGGGGAGAUGGAAUUAGUGGUGUAGGGGUAAAAUCCGUAGAUAUCACUAGGAAUACCGAAAGCGAAGGCGAUCUCCUGGAACAUAACUGACGCUAAGGCGUGAAAGCGUGGGGAGCAAACGGGAUUAGAAACCCUAGUAGUCC